rnacentral:rRNA from 1 species
GAUGAACGCUGGCGGCGUGCCUAAUACAUGCAAGUCGAGCGAACAGACGAGGAGCUUGCUCCUCUGACGUUAGCGGCGGACGGGUGAGUAACACGUGGAUAACCUACCUAUAAGACUGGGAUAACUUCGGGAAACCGGAGCUAAUACCGGAUAAUAUAUUGAACCGCAUGGUUCAAUAGUGAAAGACGGUUUUGCUGUCACUUAUAGAUGGAUCCGCGCCGCAUUAGCUAGUUGGUAAGGUAACGGCUUACCAAGGCAACGAUGCGUAGCCGACCUGAGAGGGUGCUCGGCCACACUGAAACUGAGACACGGUCCAGACUCCUACGGGAGGCAGCAGUAGGGAAUCUUCCGCAAUGGGCGAAAGCCUGACGGAGCAACGCCGCGUGAGUGAUGAAGGUCUUCGGAUCGUAAACCUCUGUUAUUAGGGAAGAACAAAUGUGUAAGUAACUAUGCACGUCUUGACGGUACCUAAUCAGAAAGCCACGGCUAACUACG